AAUACGGGCAGAAUCAAUUUGCGCCAAUUGCAGUUUUGAAAAGGUAUUAAUUGCGCCACUCUCUUUUAUUUUGAGGGUAUUAUUUGCGCCAAUAAAUGAAAUGAAAUUGCGCCACAUUUACCUGUUAAUAUUUUUUACCUAUAUCAUACCUGUACAUGUUUUACCUAAAUCAAGACAUAACAAGACAAAUACUAUAUGAAAGUCUCGCCACUUGUUACAUAUAAAAUAUACAGCUUUUUAAACACACAAGUUAACAACAAGGGCCACUCUAUAAAGAGCUUUGAGAGACUAUAAAACAAUUUUUUCUUAAAAUUAUAAUGCAAAUACAAGUCAACUAUCACGAGUAUAAAAUACAUUUUCGCUUCAAAAUUGAAGAUGAAAAUUUAGAAAAGAAAGAUUUAAAAUAUGUUUGUCAGUCUAUGUAUAUAGAGAGAAGAAAACUGCGUCCGGCUUAAUCUAACAAUCGAGCAAAAUUUCACAGAGUAUUGGAUGAUAUUGGUGUUGUUACAAACAAAGAUGAUGACUUUGUAUUGUGUAACGAUCCAACAAGCGGUAUAAUUUUAUUAGGAUGCGAGGCUAAUUUGAAAUUUCAGUGUACAAUGUCAGAGGAAUUUUUUGCUGUUGAUACCUAGUCAAUCAUUUAGUUGUUAUACAUAAAUAAAUAUAUAUAAAAUUGGCGCAAUUAGAUGAUUAUUUUAUUGGCGCAAAUGAUACCUAUAGUUUUGAAAAUUAGGUGGCGCAAAAGAGGUAUUGGCGCAAUUAAGUUGUGGCGCAAAUGAGUUACUUUUUGGCGCAAAAAGAUAUCGCCCGAUAA
rnacentral:lncRNA from 1 species